rnacentral:rRNA from 1 species
CACCGCGGUUAUACGAGAGACCCAAGUUGAUAGACACCGGCGUAAAGAGUGGUUAAGAUUUACCCAAAACUAAAGCCGAACGCCCUCAGAGCUGUUAUACGCACCCGAGAGUUAGAAGCCCAACCACGAAAGUGGCUUUAAACAAUCUGAACCCACGAAAGCUAUGAUA